rnacentral:rRNA from 1 species
CAAAGACCUCACUCCCGGAACGGGGAGGUAGUGACAAAAAAUAACGAUACGGGACUCGAUAUGAGGCCUCGUAAUCGGAAUGAGUACACUCUAAAUCCUUUAACAAAAAUCUAUUGGAGGGCAAGUCUGGUGCCAGCAGCCGCGGUAAUUCCAGCUCCAAUAGCGUAUAUUAAAGUUGUUGCGGUUAAAAAGCUCGUAGUUGGUUCUGCGUCCCGCGCUGUCGGUACACCGUUUGUCGGUGACACUGGCAUGACGCGGGAUGUCCUGUCGGUGGCGGCGGAGACCAUAUCGUCGUCGGAUAACACCGCGGCGUGUUGGCCUUCUGUCGCCGGCUAUAUCCUACCGCGGUGCUCUUCACUGAGUGUCGAGGUAGGCCGACACGUUUACUUUGAACAAAUUAGAGUGCUUAAAGCAGGCAAAAAUCUCUGCCAGAAUAGUGGUGCAUGGAAUAAUGGAACAGGACCUUGGUUCUAUUCUGUUGGUCUCCGGAACACAAGGUAAUGAUCAAUGUGGACAGGCGGGGGCAUUCGUAUUGCGGCGUUAGAGGUGAAAUUCUUGGAUCGUCGCAAGACGCACUAGAGCGAAAGCAAUUGCCAAGUAUGUCUUAAUUGAUCAAGAACGAAAGUUAGAGGUUCGAAGGCGAUCAGAUACCGCCCUAGUUCUAACCAUAAACGAUGCCAGCCAGCGAUCCGCCGAUGUUCCUUUGAUGACUCGGCGGGGAGCUUUCCCCGGGAAACCAAAGCUUUUGGGUUCCGGGGGAAGUAUGGUUGCAAAGCUGAAACUUAAAGGAAUUGACGGAAGGGCACCACCAGAAGUGGAGCCUGCGGCUUAAUUUGACUCAACACGGGAAACCUCACCAGGUCAGGACAUUGGAAUGAUUGACAGAUUGAUAGCUCUUUCUUGAUUCA